GGGUUGUUAGCUCAGUCGGUAGAGCAGUUGACUUUUAAUCAAUUGGUCGCAGGUUCGAAUCCUGCACGACCCAUCA
rnacentral:tRNA from 1 species